UACAACAACCAAAUACACAACAAGUAACACCUUAUUCUAUGAUUUAUCCCAUUGACUUGAAUGGGACUAAUUGAGGAGAUCUGAACAACUCAGUGGAAGGAUAUCGGAGUCUGGCCCUUAACCAAUAAAAUUAUGCACGUGCCUAAGUGUUUGCAGGAUCCAGCUCUUCUGAUCACAGUAAAAUGCAAGGAAAACUGCAAUGUCUGAAAAAAGAUUAAAAGGAUGUGCCACUACGCAGCUAAAUCGUCUCCCAAACAGGCAAGAAUAAGAAAAUGUGUGCCUGGAAACCUCGGUGCUGAAAAGUGGAUAUGGCCACAGGUCACUGCAGUGGACAAGGGAGAGGGAAAGAAAGAAAAUAAGAGGGGACAGAAAAAGAAUGAAAGGGAGGAAAAAACAGAAAAAAGAGAAGAAAACAGCAGAUUUUCUAUUUAUUUCUAUUAGUCUGUAACAGCACAAUGUUUACAGUUUACCCUGCCCACUCCUCCCCCAUUAAGAAGGGAUCUGAUAAACAUUUCCAACUAUUCAGUUGUUUUAAACAUCACUACACACAUUCUUGAAACAUUUCUGAGUGAUGGGCACAACAUUAUAGGUGGUGAGUACCUGUGUAGAAGGGUGGAACUGGGAUUUAUGUACUUAUGAGUUGUCACUUAGGGCUUGUCCAUACAGCGAGUUAGUGUGCGGCAAGCUGGGAUGUAUAUCUACAGCUCUCUAGCAUGCUGGGCAGUCCAUGUUGACCCUGCUGCUGUGCACUAGAAGUUCCCUAAGUGUACUACGGACAGUUUGUGUGUGUCAUGCUGGAGCACCGUAGAUUUACGUCCCAGCUUGCUGUGUGCUAACUCACCAUAUAGCCAUGCCCAUACCAUUUUUGUAUCUUCUUGUUUCAGGCCCCAAUCCUGCAAACAGGAUCAUGCAGAGUCAGGCCCCUGUGCCUAUGCAGAAUCAAUUGCAGAAUAUGUAAAUGUAAUGAAAGUAUUCUAAAACAUAAAACACAGGGGAAAUUCAAAAUCCUUAUUCAGCCAUCUGCUGAAUGCACACAAAGGGUGAUCCUGAAGGCGCUAUGCUGACAAAACUCCCAUUGAAGUUGAGUGGCCUUUUGCCUGUAUGAUGCAAUCAGGAGUAGGUCUUAAGUGGGAUAAAGGUUUGACUCCCUAAUAUUAGGGGCCAGGAGUGAAAACUGCUUCCUGUUUUCAUUUAUAGUGAAAAAAGAGCAUUUCAGUUAAGAAGAUCCUGCUGCAAGCUCUCCCAGUAGAAUUUGAAGUCAUUUUGCACUACUCUUUCCCUCUUGUUUGAAUUUCAUAUUUUUCCCUGUCCUUGGCUCACAUAUGAGUUGAUAUUGCCCCAAACUUUUAGUCAAAAAUAAUAAUUUUAUUUAAUAAAAUUUGACCACAUGGCGAAUAUUUGUGCA
ensembl:lncRNA